rnacentral:rRNA from 1 species
UAAGUGGAAUAAUCCCGGGAAACUGGGGCUAAUACUCCAUAUUUUGAUAUAACUGGAAUGUUUGUCAAGAUAAAGAUCCGUCGCUUCAGGAUGAGUCUGCGUCCGAUUAGGUAGUCGUUGGGGUUAUUGCCCAACAAGCCUAUAAUCGGUACGGGUUGUGAGAGCAAGAGCCCGGAGUUGGAUUCUGAGACAUGAAUCCAGGCCCUACGGGGCGCAGCAGGCGCGAACACUUUACAAUGCGGGCAACCGUGAUAAGGAAACCCCGAGUGCCUGUAUACACAGGCUGUCCAUCUGUUUACAACACAGGUGAAGAAAGGGCCGGGCAAGACCGGUGCCAGCCGCCGCGGUAAUACCGGCGGCUCGAGUGGUGGCCACUAUUACUGGGCUUAAAGGGUCCGUAGCUUGGUUUAUCAGUCCCUUGGGAAAUCCACCGGCUUAACCGAUGGUCGUUUAGGGGAUACUGUGAACCUUGGGACCGGGAGAGGUGAGAGGUACUGCAGGGGUAGGAGUGAAAUCCUGUAAUCCCUGUGGGACCACCUGUGGCGAAGGCGUCUCACCAGAACGGCUCCGACAGUGAGGGACGAAAGCUGGGGGAGCGAACCGGAUUAGAUACCCGGGUAGUCCCAGCCGUAAACGAUGCGCGUUAGGUGUGUCAGUGACCACGUGUCACUGAAGGUGCCGAAGGGAAACCGUGAAACGCGCCCGCCUGGGGAAGUAC